rnacentral:tRNA from 1 species
GUCUUCGUAGUAUAUAAAAUACCUUGGUCUUGUAAACCAAAAAAGGAGAACAUGUGCCCUCCCUAAGACU